AGUCAGCCUGUGCGCACAUGCAAAUCAACACAUAACACAGGCAAUUUGCCACAGAUGUCGAAAUGUCGCACACGUUGACAGGAUUCUUAUCAAAGUACGCAGAGCAAUUCUAUGUCGCAUUUAAUUAAAAUCUCCAUUAAAGUACGCCAAACGAGCUGAACGACAAGCGAAUGAGUGGACACAAGUGCACUGACUAACUAACUGAGUGGCUGACUGACUGGUCGUAUAUUUGGGUGACUGUUACGAGGCUUACGAGGGCCCCAAAUUUACCGCCUUUCCUACCACUCUACUGCUGACGGUUCGUUGUGAGGCAACUAACCGGUCGACUGCAUGGUCGUUUAAGCGAAUUUAAAUCAGCCGUUUGGAACCCCCACUGUGACAAGCAACGGGUAUUUAAAUUAAAAGCUGUGGUCAAAUGCCUACGCAAAAAAAUUGCUUCCAAAACUAACUAUGUAUUAUACAAAAAUAGCAGCAAACGCAUGUGCAUAUGUGUCGGUUUGUUUUAUGAAAAAAAAAGUUAAAAAGUUUCCUAAAAAUAUGCGCGUGAAAUUAGCGCUACAACAAGAGCGGAACUGCAAAUUUAAUUAUUAACUGGGAUUUUUUCGCUGGAAGGAGCUUCAGGUAAAAUUGUUAAUAUUUUUCCAAAAACGAAUACCCUUAGUGUUGAAAUACUUUUUGGAGUUUCCUUUGGUUAUUAAAAGCAUAUCUCAUAAAAACAACGGAAAGUUAGGAGAUUUCGAUUACUGGUGAGGCAUAUAACGAUUUCAUCGAGACGGCUAAUGCUAGUUUCGGUUCUGCCUACUCGUUCGCUAAGGUAGGACCACCAAGAUGUUUCAGUUUCAGUCUUGCAAAGGCUGGACGGUGGAGAAGAAAGUUUCUGGAUGUUCCCACCUCACCGUUCGUCAUAAAACUUUGACAAGAUUUUUGGUCUUACAGUAUGAAUGCCUACUGGACGGUGUGCAGUAAGAAUUACACAAGACUAUAAUCUACUGUAAGACCAAAAACAGUUAAAUUCAAUAUAACCCAGACUAGAUGGUUCUAUGGAAGCUUAGAGCCGUCGGCAAUACCCAACUCAAUGUCGACACCUUUCUAAAUACAUAUAACAUAUGUAUAUUCUAUAUAAAGAACAAUGUAAUAACUGGAAGCGGAGAGAGAGCAGAGAGCUUUGUAUAUGAAAUCGUUUCCAAGGUCCCCUAAAAACCGUACGGAAGCAUGUUUUUAUCGGUCAAAGCCUCUAAACUCAGGCAAAAGUCGCUAACCUCGGCAAAGUUCCCCUUAAAAUAACACACUUUACAACAAUAGCAACAACUGGAUAGAAGUUAGUUUUGCACCUAGGUUUUAACCGUACAUCAUUCUCGGCAAUAUCUUCCCCUAUUUCAUUGCCCUCGAUGUCUUUGUGGACUGACACCCAGUAGAAGUGAACUUUCUUGCUUCUGGUAAUACUUUCCACUGCCGCCCUAAUUCCCAAGACACUUCUGGCCGACUUUUCAUAUUAAAUACCAAUAUAUGAAAUGCAGUCUCUGCUGUUCUGCCCUUCGUAUAAGCGAGCUGCGUCUUGGACAAGCUUCUAAGAAGUACUGCAGCCCUAAUGUGUGGGCCCAAGAUUUUCUCUAGUGCUUUCAGCAGGAAGUUAAGCUUAUAGGCCUAAACAUUUUUCAAAUGGAAAAUUAUUGACUAUUAGUUAGAGACUCAGCUGGAAUACUUAUAGCCAUCAAUAUCUAGCAUAGCUUAAGUCCUGGUCCCAAACUUACUUUACGAUCGAGACCUAAACAAUACACAUACAGAUUAUUAUUAUUAUUUUUUUUGUUAGUUAGAAACAGCAAAUCUAACACGUGCUCUUUAUCUAGAUUAUAACACAAAAGAAACGAUAACAGAAAACAGUUUCGGCUCUGUUUCUACUAGGUUUACUUAGCUGCUGCCUUUAUACAACAACAAAAACGAAAAGAUAUAUAACUUUUACACAUUUUUUCUUGUUAUUUUCAAGUUUUUUAAGCAUAUUGUUGAAUAUACUUUAAUCUCAGAUAAUUCAACUAAACCGACAGUUAAGGCAUACCAUUUUUUU